rnacentral:rRNA from 1 species
CAGAGGGGGCAAGCGUUGUUCGGAAUUACUGGGCGUAAAGGGCGCGUAGGCGGCCUGCUAAGUCGAACGUGAAAUCCCUGGGCUCAACCCAGGAACUGCGUCCGAUACUGGUUGGCUUGAAUCCGGGAGAGGGGAUGUGGAAUUCCAGGUGUAGCGGUGAAAUGCGUAGAUAUCUGGAGGAACACCGGUGGCGAAGGCGACAUCCUGGACCGGUAUUGACGCUGAGGCGCGAAAGCCAGGGGAGCAAACGGGAUUAGAUACCCCGGUAGUCCUGGCCCUAAACGAUGAAUGCUUGGUGUGGCGGGUAUCGAUCCCUGCCGUGCCGAAGCUAACGCAUUAAGCAUUCCGCCUGGGGAGUACGGUCGCAAGGCUG